rnacentral:rRNA from 1 species
CUCCUUCGGGAGGCAGCAGUGAGGAAUUUUCCGCAAAGGGCGAAAACCUGACGGAGCAAUUCCGCGUGAAGGAAGAAGGCCUAUGGGUUGUAAACUUUUUUUUUCAGAGAAGAAUUUUUGACGGUAUCUGAGGAAUAAGCAUCGGCUAACUCUGUGCCAGCAGCCGCGGUAAGACAGAGGAUGCAAGCGUUAUCCGGAAUGAUUGGGCGUAAAGCGUCUGUAGGUGGCUUAAAAAGUCUUCUGUCAAAGAUCAGGGCUUAACCCUGGGCCGGCAGGAGAAACUCUUAGGCUAGAGUUUGGUAGGGGCAGAGGGAAUUCCCGGUGGAGCGGUGAAAUGCGUAGAGAUCGGGAGGAACACCAAAGGCGAAAGCACUCUGCUGGGCCACAACUGACACUGAGAGACGAAAGCGAGGGGAGCAAAAGGGAUUAGAUACCCCUGUAGUCCUCGCCGUAAACGAUGGAUACUAGAUGUUGGAUAGGUUAAAGCAUUCAGUAUCGUAGCU